CUGCUGCCUUCCGUAGGAGUCUGGGCCGUGUCUCAGUCCCAAUGUGGCCGGCCACCCUCUCAGGUCGGCUACUGAUCGUCGCCUUGGUGGGCCUCUAUCCCGCCAACUAGCUAAUCAGACGCGGAUCCAUCCCAUACCACCGGAGUUUUUCACACUGGAAUAUGCAUUCCUGUGCGCUUAUGCGGUAUUAGCAGCCGUUUCCGGCUGUUAUCCCCGGUAUGGGGCAGGUUAUCCACGCGUUACUCACCCG
rnacentral:rRNA from 1 species